CUGGUCCGUUUGAGAGGUGGUUAGUCAUGCCCAGCAUGUUGUUUGGGACUGGCCGCCAUGUGGUUGUGCCAUAGCCGGCAGGUGAUUUUAGCGUGUCCGGAAGAUGGCUCCGGCGACUCGAGCAGACGGUUCCGGCGUGCUCGGCAUGUGGUUCAGGCGUGUCUGGCAGGUGGUCCCAGCAAGUUGAGCAGGUGGUUCUGGCGUGCACUGCUUGUGGUUCAGGCAGGUCCGGCAGGUGGUUCCGGUCGGUCCAUUAGGUGGUUCCGGCGUGUCCUGCACGUGGUUCUUUCACGUCUGAGACGUACCUCCGGCAUGCCCAGCAUGUCAUUCCAGACUGCCCGCCACGUGGUUCUGGCGUAGCCGGCAGGUGAUCUUGGCAUGUCCGGUAGGUUUUUCUGGCGAGUCGACCAGGUGGUUCCGGUCUGUCCACGAGGUGGUUCUGGGCUGUCCGGCACGUGGUACUGGCACGUCUGAGAAGUGGUUGAGGCAUCCCUGGCAGGUGAUUCCAGAGUGUCCAGCAAAUGGUUCUGGCUUAGCUGGCAGGUGAUUUUGUCGUGUCCGGCAGGUGGUUCCGGCCUGUCCGGGAGGUGGUUCCGGCGUGUCCGGCACGUGGUUCUGGCACGUCAGAGAGGUGGUUCUGGCAUGCCCAGCACGUGAUUCCGGAGAGUCCGCCAAGUGGUUCUCUUGUAGCUGGCAGGGGAAUUUUGCAUGUCCGGCAGGCAGUUCCUGCGAGUCGAGCAGGUGGUCCCUGCGUUCUCGGCAUAUGGUUCAGGUGUGUCCGGCAGGUGUUUCCGGUCAGUCCGUUACAUGGUUCUGGCGUGUCCGGCACGUGGUUCUGGCACAUCUGAAGGUGGUUCCGUCAUGCACGGCAGGUGAUUCCGGAGUGUCCGCCAAGUGGUUCUGGCGUAGCCGGCAGGUGAUUUUGCCCUGUCCGGCAGGUGGUUCUGGCGAAUUGAGCAGGUGGUUCUGGGGUGCUCGGCAGGUGGUUCCGGUGUGUCAUGCAGGUGGUUCUGGUCUGUCCUGUAGGCGGUUUCGGCAUGUCUGGUACAUGGUUCUGUCACGUCUUAGAGGUGGUUACACGAUGCCCGACAGGUGAUUCCGGAGUGUCCGCCAAGUGGUUCUCGCAUAUAAGGCAGGUGAUUUUGGCAUGUCUGGCACGUCGUUCUGGUACGUCGAGCAGGUGGUUCCGGCGUGCUCGGCAGGUGGUUCAGGCAUGUCCGGCAGGUGGUUCUGGUCUGUCCGGGAGGUGGUUCCAGCAAGUCCUGCAUGUGGUUCUUGCAUGUUUGAGACAUGAUUCCGGCAUGCCCAGCAUGUGAUUCUGGACUGCCCGCCACGUGGUUCUGUUGUAGCGGCAGGUGAUUUUGGUGUGUCCGGCACAUGGUUCCGGCGUGCUCGGCAGGUGGUUCUGGCGUGCUCGGCGGGUGGUUGAGGCAUGUCUGGCAGGUGGUUCCGGUGUGUCCAGGAGGUGGUUCUGGAGUGU
rnacentral:lncRNA from 1 species